rnacentral:lncRNA from 1 species
CAUUCAUAAUUCUCAAAAUAUAUGUUGAUCAAAAUAAAUACACAAAAAGUAGCAUAUAUUCAAGCAGGAUUUAUUCUACUGCUGUGAGGGUCCUGAAAAUAAGAUUAACAUUUUAUCAACAUAAUUAUCAAUAAAUGCAAUAUAUCAUUUCAAUAUAUAUAUAUAUAUAUAUAUAUAUAUAUAUAUAUAUAUAUAGACACACACACACACACACACACUUUAUUAUAAAACAUUAAUAUCUUACACCUCUAUAUUCAUUCCAUUCACACACAAUUCCAAUCUUAGCCGUUUCACGAGGUAUUGCUCCCUCAUUAGAGACACUAAUUUAUCCGCUUAAUUACCGGUACUAGUUCAUCUGUUCAAUUGCCGGUACUAAUUCAUCCGCUUAAUUAUCGGUACUAGUUCAUCCGCCCAAUUACUGGACAUUAAUUCACUCUCAAUUACCGGGCAUUAAUUCAUCCGCCCAAUUACCGAUACUAAUUUAUCCGUCCAAUUACCGGGCAUUAAUUCACUCUCAAUUACCGGGCAUUAAUUCACUCUCAAUUACCGGUACUAAUUUAUCCGCCUAAUUACCGGGCAUUAAUUCACUCUCAAUUACCGGGUAUUAAUUCAUCCGCCCAAUUGCCGAUACUAGUUCAUUCGUCAAAUUGCCAGUACUACUUCAUCCGCUAAAUUACCAGUACUAGUUCAUCCGCCCAAUUACCGGUACUAAUUCAUCCGUCCAAUUACCGGUACUGGUUCAUCCACCUAAUUACCGGUACUAAUUCAUUCGCCCAAUUACCAGGCAUUAAUUCACACUCAAUUACCGGGCAUUAGUUCAUCCAUCCAAUUACCGGUACUAAUUCAUCCGCCCAAUUAGUACCGGUACUAAUUUAUCCGCCCAAUUACCGGGCAUUAAUUCAUCCGUUAACAUCAAACAUAAAUUACAGAAUUUCUAAUUAAAAUUAACACAAGUUUUCAAUUAAUCUUUCUAUAAAAUUCAAGAUGUCAGAUACCUACCUACUGGUGAUGCUUGACUAGUAACUCCCUGCUGCUGUCUGGAGCCUCCAACCUCUCCCUUAAGGAAUGAAGAAUCAAAAGCCAAAACAAGUUGAAUCAAGUUUUUUCCUUCACACUUCCCUUUAAGCUCAAUUUUUUUUCCUUUCUCUAAAAGCACUCUUAAAAUCUUCAAACUCCUUGUAGUCUCCUUAAUGUAUCAACCCUCUCUUUAAUUACUUAACACUCUUUCUAUCUUACACUUUGUUUUUUUAUUUUUCAAGCAAUUUCCAUGAAAAAUGACACAGACCCUCUUUUUCCCAUUUUUCUUCUCUUGGCCGGCUGCAGACUCCCUCUUUUCUUUUCUUUUUUAAUUGCUGGCAGCUUGUAAAGAGGAUUGUUUUGGGCAAAGUCUCAAUUUGGUCCCUAAGGAAUUUCUAGACAAUCAUUUGUGCUAUUUGUUCUUUUAUCUGAAAAAAAUUCUUAUCAUACUCCAAAAAUUUUGAAAUUUUAACCUAGGUUAAAAUAAUAUUUUAUAAGACUCCAUGCAAAAUUUCAACUUAAUCUAAUGACCAGAUUGAAAGUUAUGUGCUAUAACGUAAAAUUAGCCGGUUUGUAAUUUUUCGUCAAAAAUUCAAAUUUUUAUAUUUCUUCACAAGUUACGUCAAUUAAUUUACUCAAUUAUCGAGAUUUUAUAUAUAUAUAUAUAUAUAUAUAUAUAUAUUAUUUUUUUAUUUUUACCGGGGUUUACAGUUACGGUCUCAUACACUGAAAACACAUGAAUUGUCACCUCGACGUGAAUGAAAGUUGUAAUCUGUUUAAAAAACUGAAAGUGUGUGUAUAUAUAUACAUGGAAAUUUCUUAUCCAGGUGCAAUCGUCAUGUCUGCUUAAUGAUUUCUAUAAAAAGAGAGGGUUCUAAAGAUGGUAGUUUUGAGAGGAGAAGGGCUUACAAGGAUAGAAAGAAAGAGUAAAGCACUGGAAUAGUAGACCCCCAGAGAAAUCGUCCAACCUCCCGCCAUGUAAGUGUGACAUUACAGGAGCUUCAAAAUAUACUGGGGCUUAAUUAAAUUCAACAUUUAUAGGUGGCUUGAUCUUAAAUGAGGGGUGGAUUGGAUGGUGAUGAAGUUUCUAAAAAAUUUCAGAUUGAUUUGGGCUCUUUUCAGCCAAUAAUGGGUU